rnacentral:misc_RNA from 1 species
CGCCCGCCCGUCACGCGCGUUCUUUUCAGAGUCCGACCAUUUCAUUUUCUUACACAGUGCACACACUUCUUUUUACACACACUUUUAACACAUUAGUAUAGGAAUGUAAUAGUCUCUUAAUUGAGCAUAAACAAAAAUAAAACUUUCAGCAACGGAUCUCUUGGCUCUCGCAUCGAUGAAGAACGCAGCGAA